UACGUAGGGUCCGAGCGUUGUCCGGAAUUACUGGGCGUAAAGAGCUCGUAGGUGGUUUGUCGCGUUGUUCGUGAAAACUCACAGCUCAACUGUGGGCGUGCGGGCGAUACGGGCAGACUAGAGUACUGCAGGGGAGACUGGAAUUCCUGGUGUAGCGGUGGAAUGCGCAGAUAUCAGGAGGAACACCGGUGGCGAAGGCGGGUCUCUGGGCAGUAACUGACGCUGAGGAGCGAAAGCCAGGGGAGCAAACAGG
rnacentral:rRNA from 1 species